CGGGGUGAGUAACGCGUGGGUAACCUGCCUUAUACAGGGGGGUAACAGUCAGAAAUGGCUGCUAAUACCGCAUAAGCGCACAGAGCUGCAUGGCUCAGUGUGAAAAACUCCGGUGGUAUAAGAUGGACCCGCGUUGGAUUAGCUAGUUGGUGGGGUAACGGCCCACCAAGGCGACGAUCCAUAGCCGGCCUGAGAGGGUGAACGGCCACAUUGGGACUGAGACACGGCCCAG
rnacentral:rRNA from 1 species